rnacentral:rRNA from 1 species
UACGGAGGGUGCGGGCGUUGUCCGGAAUCAUUGGGCGUAAAGGGCGCGUAGGUGGCCCCUCAAGCGUGCGGUGAAAGUCAGGGGCUCAACCCCUGAUCGGCCGUGCGAACUGGGGAGCUUGAGCACUGUAGAGGCAGGCGGAAUUCCGGGUGUAGCGGUGGAAUGCGCAGAGAUCCGGAAGAACACCGGUGGCGAAGGCGGCCUGCUGGGCAGUUUUGCUGACACUGAGGCGCGACAGCGUGGGGAGCAAACAGG